GUUGUCUCAAGGCACAAGUCCGGGGAAGGGUACAGAAACAUUUCUGCUGCUUUGAAGGUUCCAAUGAGCACAGUGGCCUCCAUCAUCCAUAAAUGAAGUUUAAAUCCACCAGGACUCUUCUGAGAGCUGGCCAUCCGUUUAAACGGAGCGAUCAAGGGAGAAGGGCCUUUAUCAGGGAGGUGACCAAGAACCUGAUGGUCAUUUUGUCAGAGAUCCAGCAUUCCUCUGUGGAGAGAGGAAAACCUUCCAGAAGGACAACCAUCUCUCCACCAAUCAGGCCUGUAUGGUAGAGUGGUCAGAGAGAGGCCACUCCUUAGUAAAAGGCACAUGGCAGCCCGUCUGGAGUUCACCAAAAGGUACCUAAAGGACUCUCAGACCAUGAGAAACAAAAUUCUCUGCUCUGAUGAGACAAAGAUUAAACUCUUUGGCGUGAAUGCCAGCCGUCAUGUUUGGAGGAGAACUGGCU